AUUGCAUCUAGCUAAGCCUGAUAGCCAUUUGCGGCAGGUGAGAAUGCGCCAGUGCCGUCACUUAGCCAGGAGUCAGUAUCAGACUGCUGUUUGAUUUCCACAUGAUAGGCCUGAAGUCCUUGGUGCUAUGGUUUUGUGCCCCCUGUGAACUGGAAUGGCAUCCAUUGGUUUCGCGCUGGUUCCCCAGCUUGCAGGUAGUGUUUUUGCUGCGGGUUAUCAUGGUUUUC